CCAUUUUUGACGGGCUCCCGCUGGGAUUCGGGUGUCUGCUCAUCUGGAAGCCUCCAUGCUGGAGAGGUAGUCAGCACAGCGCACGCAGGGCGUAGGCGUGUUUUCUCGUCCCUCCCUCGCAACCACAGUCCCGCUCAAGGCGUGGGGGUGUCACCCGAGACCCGGGCCUCCCCUGCACUUUCCUUUAGGCCGAAACCGCGAGCCUUCGCUUCAGUGUCGCUUUUCCUUCGCCGCCGCCGCCGCCGCCGCCGCCGCUCUUCUCAGGACCUACAUCGACUGCCCAGUCGGCUGAGCUGGGCCCUGGGCCACCGAGGCCCGGGGAGCUGAGGGGCUCGGGACCCUGCGAGCCGCUUAAGAAAGGACCGCAAGAACCGAAUGCAGUGAACUGCGAGAGCAGGGAAUGAGAGAGAAGUUAAACCGUUUAGCAAAAAAAAAAAAUAAGAGACAUGAUGGAGGCAGAAAAUAAAUUGUAGGGGGGAGGGAAAAAAGCGUUACGACUCCGCCGGGACUCGAACCCGGAACCUUUGAAUGCCUUCAGCCUCUAGAAGUCCAAUGCGCUAUCCAUUGCGCCACGGAGCCACCUGUUGGAGUCUCAGCGCAUCUGCUAUGUUAAGCCAGAGGCGACGGCCCCGCGCUCUUCCGACCGCGCCUCCCGUCGUCAGUGUCACCGAGACCCAGCCGCCGCGCUCAGGGCACUGCCAUCCGCCUCAAACGCCAGCCGCAGGCUCUCGGUCUCCCCGCAGUGGUCGCCCCUCAACAAGGGAGACAUUACCUCAUCCCUCAAGAUUGCUCGCUGCAAACACAACGCUGAGAAAUGGCCCAAGUAAAGCGUGAUCAGGGUCUUGCAUUCUUGGCACAUCUAGGAAGAACGUGCAAGGAUGCGAAUUGUGAAUCGCUUCUCCAAACAAUCCAUUAUUUGGGCAGGAUUCUGUAGGGAAAACUCAUCACCACUUCAUAUAGCAUCAGCCAUGCGGCUCAACUGAGGGCUGUUGGAUCCACUUCUAAGAUGACUCACUGCUGGCUGGCUGUUAAUGCUGGGUUGAGGCCCUGGGGCCUUGGUUUGUCUCCACAUUGGCCUCUCCAUUAGGCCUGGACUUCCUCACAAAAUGGUGGAUGAGUUCUAAGGGUAAACAUCGCAAGAGAGAAAACCAGACAAGAGAGCAAAACUUGCCUUUUGUGACCUAGCCUCAGAAAUCACAUAGUGUCUAUUAAUUGAAGCAGUCCCAAAGUCCCACCUGGGUUCAAGGGGAGGAGAUACUGACUACACUGUCCUUGAUGGGAGGGUGGUAAGAUUCUGGAAGAGAGAUGGGACCAGAAAUGUUGUUGCAGCCAUUUUGGGGAAGUGCAAUCUACCACAACGCAUAUGUAUGUACUCCUAGGCAAUAUGCUAUUUAAUUUUGCAUGUUUUACGCUUUAUAGAAACAUCCAUACUGAAUAUGUUUUUCUACAACUUUGUUCCCUCAACAUUUAUGAGUCGCUUAUAUUUUUGGAGUUCAUUUAUUUUUAGAAUUGUAUAAUAUUUCAUUGCAAUUAUUUGCUACAAUUUAGUUCUCUGUUAUUUUGGUGAAUGUUUGUGCUCUUUCUAUAUGUUUCCAACCCUUUUUUUCUAUAUAUUUAUGCUUUUUGCUAUUUUGUACAGCUGCUCUGAACAUUCUCAUAGAACUUUGCACAUGAGCCUAGGGCAAGAAUUAUCAACCAGUGUGAUUUUUAGCAAUGUCAGAGGCAUUUAGCAAAUGUCCUACACAUUUUUUAUUUUUAUGACUGGAGUAGGAAGCGUUGGUACUGACAUCUGGCAGGUAGAGGCUAUGGAUGUUGCUAAAUAUCCUACAGGAAAGCCCCCUAUAACGAUUAGCUGGUCCAACAUGUCAAUAGUGCUGAGAUUGAAAAAUCCUAGCUUAGGGUAUAUAUGGAGGAGUAGAAUUCUCACUCAAUGAUAGGAUAUUCACAGUUUCAACUUUAUUAUAUAAUACUAAAUUGUUUACCCAAGUGGUUGAGCAAGUCUAUACUCCUACCAAAGGGAGGCUCCACAUCCUCUGAUAUUGUCAAUCUUCUUAGAUUUUGCCAGUUCAUGUUUUUUUCCUUCUGAAAUGCACAUUUGUGUGCUUUGUCCAUUUUUAUAGAGUAAAUGUUUAUAGGAUUGAUUUGUAGGCAUUAUUUAUAUAUUCUGGAUACUAAUUCUUUGUUGGUUGUAUGUGUUGAAAAUAUCUCCUCCCAGUCUGUGGCUUAUCCUCUCACUUCUUCCUGGUUCUUUUGAUGAACAGAUGUUCUUAAGCUUCAUGUAGUUAAAUCCAUCAAUCGUAUACUAUCCAUCAGGCUUGUGAUUUAGGGUCAUUAUUUAAGAAAGAAUGUCCUGCCCUGAGGUUAUCAUUGCUUCCCAAGCCUGGCAGCAUUUUGGGGUUUUAUCUUUUCCAGCUGGCAAGACCUGGAGUUCCUCUUGCUGACCCCAGAGGUGCCUGGCCUUCCUUAUCCUCCACUGUUUGCUCAGUCCUUAUGAACACUCAGAUUGUAUUUCCUAAUGUACUCCAUUUUCUCUGUUGGGCUCUUUCUACAACCUCUGUAGCCCUCUCUACCCAGGACUGGACUCUACUGUCUCGGGACUGGCCUCAAAAUGAACUGACUUCUCUGGAACCACAGUGCCCCACUUAGUAUCAGCACUGCUGAAGAUGUCCCUUAGAGAUUAGCCAUGGCAGGAUUGAGCCCCAGUUUUCUAAAGUACUUGGAUGGUUUCAUUUGCACUCAUGUGGGGUAUUCUCCUCUAGGGCUAAAAUCAAAAAUGGGGCAAAGCUGAAGAUGCCAAGUGGUCCCCAGGAACAUUACUGCUCACAGGAGGGACACCCCAAGAUGAGCAUAUCUGCUCUGACCACAUACCUUCUAGCCAGGCCUAUCUACCCAGGGCCCCUCAGAACCGACCAUGAUUAAAGGACAGCCUUGGUGUGAUCUGCUCCAUCCAGGGAAAUCAUUCAGAGUUAAUUUUGCUUCCUUUUCCCUCCAUUCCGGUUCUGUCCACAUCCUGACUUCUGAUAUGUCCUCCCUUCUGGAUCCUUCUCCCAUCCUUUAGACUUCACAUUGAUCUGGGUUUCCCUGGCUUUGACACUCAGUAAGGGCUUUGGGCAAAACCCACCUUUUGGUUCCAGCAGCUCCUGUUUGCCCCAAGAAAGGCACCUUAUCCUAGCUCAAGUCAUGAUGACCCAAACCCAAGGACCUAGAUAAAGUUGAAGAGAUAUGAUUCCAGGUGCCUAAUCUGAACAGUUGUCGAGCUUGGGAGAAGAUAAAUCUUAAAGUGGGGAACAGGGAGAAGGUAAAAGUAAGAAUCUAAAAACCCAAACAGCAGGAAGAGAUAGGAAAGUAGACAGGCAUAGGAGGAUUUGAGAACCCAAAAUGUAUGCCUAUGAUGCAGAGCCAGCAUGGGAGGCAUUAUAAUGGCUGAGAACUUGGGCUUUGUAGAUAGGCAAGGAUCUCCUCACCUUACUAGUUGUGCGACCUCAGGCAGGUUAUCCUCCCAGAGCCCUGUUUUCAUCAUCUGUAAAGUAGGGCUGGUGUAAUAACUUGCUCAAUUGUAUGAAGAUUAAAUGAUAAGUAUGUAAAGCAUUUGCAUAGUAUUUUACACUAUGUUCAAAAUGAUGGGCAUUAUCAAUAUUAAUUGAUGUUAAUAUUAAUAUUCAUGGACUAAUGAACAGAGGACCCGCUGCCCGGUUCCUUUAUGGCUGUUCUGGCACACACUGAGGGUCAGCAAAUUACGGCCUGUGUAUCAAAUCCAGGUUGUUGGCCAUGUGGCCCAUGAGCUAAAAGUGGUUUUUACAUUUGUAAAUGGUUGAAAAAAAUCAAAAGAAGAGUAUUAUUUCAUGUGUGAAAAUAACAUGAAAUUCAAAUUUCAGUGUCCAUAGAGUUUUACUGGAACAUAGCCAUGGUUGUUUCUUUUGUAUUGUCUUAUUUUCUGCCUCUCCAAGAAAGCUUGCUGACUCCUGGCAUAGGCCAAGUGGACUAGGGGCAGGUGCUUUAGUCAGCUGGACCUUGGAGAACUGGGCAAUCUCCUCCACUCCACAGCUCUAUACAUGGUGGCUGCCCUUCUUUUCCUACUGGCCCUCCCCUGGGGUUCCAGAGUACCUUUUGUUCAAGCCAGCCCCACUUGACCCAGGGCACUGGGAUCUAGAUUUCUGAACAAUGAGCCAAAUCAUUGCAGAAUCAUAGGGGGAAUCAGGACAAGGCUGUUUUGAGAUUAAAAUGAAAUAAAAUAUGUGAAAGUACUUUGUAAAUGCAAAGGAUGUUAUUAUUUAGCAAGUAAUGGUUAAGGGGUAUCAGUGAGGUUUUUUACUCUUCUUAGUAAAUUUAGUAAUGUAUGUUAUGUUCACUUUUAACAAAAUGUAUUAUUAACCAGAAUACCCUAAUUUCUGUCCAGAUCAAAAAAGAUUUUAAACCAAAUGAAACCAUCCACAAUGCAUGUCAAACGCACCCCCAAAAUGGAGUUUUGAGCUUCUAGCCCUUUCUGCAAAGAAAAUCCUGGCUCCUCCAUCUUGUUUUUUUUUUUUUUCCUCUCCUCUUCACUUCCUGUUUACCAUCUCCAUUUUCUUUUCCAGUCUCUGUGCCUGUGCUUUGGGCCACUUGAUUGCUUUGGGUGGCCAGAGUAGAGAGCAGAUGAAUGUCAUUGUGUUUGAAGAAGCCAAGGAAAUGUGACAGAAGAGUUUUAAGAGAAUCAUCAGCCCAGUGUAGACAUUUCAAGUGAUGUUAAGAGUUGGAGUGGAAGAAACAUUAUGAGUCAAUUCCUCAGUCACUAUUAUGGGAUAACCAGGAUUUGGUAGGAAAAGCAGAAGGAAGAGGUAGAUGGCAUAAGAAUCAAAGAUCAUUUGUACAAAGGAGAGUUGAGCAAAGUAUCAGGGGAGCUAGGACAAUGCUGAUCGCUUCUGAGUCCCCACAGGAUGUGGGAAAAUGAGCAGCCUUCCAUGAAAAAGGUGGCAAAGGAAGGCCACAGAGGAGUCCUGUAAGGGAACAGAAAAGAAAAGGCUGAGGUUUGGGUGUUGUCUACCUUAAGCAGGCCCUGAGGGUGGGAGGGAAUUCCAGGAGCAGUGGGGGAUGAGGUCAGUGGGAAGGAGGUUGGAAACAAUGUGGGUUUGAGGAUGAGAAGACAUGUCCUGAGGGGUUUACCUUUUGGGUGGAGGCCAAGGGCAACAGGAACCGGAGUCACCUAGGAUUAGCUGGUCCCAAAUUGUAAAUGAAGCACUGGGGUCAUGUUGUUCACAUCCUGGGAUUGGGGGAGGAGGGAAGAGGUGGGCAUGAGAGGCCCUGCUGGGCUGGAGGUGGGUAUUGCAGCUGCCACAUACCAUUCCCUUGCUGCAAAAUCCUUUAGCAGAAUGUCUGCUAUCCAGGAGUACGUGCAUUGUUAAGUUUGUUCUCAUUUCCUGAACAACUUACGCACUAAGCAAUUACUUAAAGCGCUGAAGGAAGAGGCUCAGGUUUCUAAUGACAUUCUGUCAACAUGACUAAUGCUACCCUGGAACACCCUUCCCCUAGGUAUCUGCAUGGCUCACUUUCUUUUUCAACCAAGUUUCCCUCAAAGAGGGGUCUUCUCUGAUCCCAAUACCCAAAUAGCCCUACUCAUCACUCACUAUCCUCUUGCCAUGCUUUAUUUUUCUUCAUUUUACUUAUGUCCACCGACUCAUCCUUAUUUGUUUAUUAGUUGGUACCUGUCAUUCUCACUAGAAUGUAAGCCACAUGAGGUUAGGAGUUUCCUUUUGUUCUCUACCCUAUUCUCCACUGCUGAAAAUAGUGCCUGGCAUACAACACAGCUCAAUAAACAGCUGUGGGCAAAUGAAUGAAUGAAUGACUUGGCCCUGGCCAAGUCAUUGGACCUCAGGAAUGGCAUCUUUCAAUUAGAAGUUGUUGCUACUCUAACGAUUUUGUUAAUCAUUAGGUGGCCUAUCUUCACCAUGCUUCCUAUACAAAAGUGAAUUGCCUAAAACUCAGCAUCGGCGCUUCUCCCUCAAAGUUUUAGACAAUAAACUCUGACUGUUUGAAACUCAGCUGUUUGCCUUCACCACUCCUCCUCCCAUCUUGCCUCCUCCCAUCCUCCUCAACUGCUUUUUCUGAUGUUGGCCAAGAUAUCAGAACCUGAGAUUAGUAUCAGAAAAUUGAGCUCCUACCAUGACCCCACACCAAAGCUUGAGGCUUUCAAUAACAAAGACAGACACCCUCCUUUCUCCAAGAGCCUAUAUAUUGUGAGGGAAUUGAUAAUUAAAUAUGUGAUUGUAUAAUGGUUUAAUGAGAACCACAACAGGGGAGGUGCUACCUUCAGAAAGGCUUCCCUCGAGAAAUGAUACCUGAGUAUUAAACUGCAGGAUGAGUAGGAUUCAGCUGAGCAAAGAAGGGUUGGAGAAAAGUAGACAGCAGGGAAAAUCCCUGAUCCUAGAGAAGUGGGUCUUGUUGGAGGAGCCAGAACUGGCAGGUGGCUGGGAACCCAGUAGGAGGUGUGAGUAGUGGGUAAAACCAGGGCUGCAACAAGCGUUAGAAACAGAUUAUCCUAAGGCAAAAAUAACUCCCUUUCACUGCUGCUGCUGGUUUGGUUGGCAAAAGGAAAAAAAAAAGGACUCCAUGAUUUUAGUAAUCAGAUUGCUGGUAAUAAUAUUGGUAUUAUUAUUCUGAUACUAUUCACUAUAUAUAUAAUAGGAUAGAGCAAAUAAGUAAUUAGGCUAAUGUUGAUAGAAACCAAGAUUCUUCACCAUAAGAGAUGCAAAUAUAAAAUUUUUAAAAUUGUAAAAAUUCUGUAAUUUUAAAUUUGAAUAAAAUAUAUUAGUGUAAACUAA